UCUUCAAUUAGAAAACCCAAAUCCUCCACCUUCUCUCUACUCUCUCUCUCUCCUCAAUGAAGACCCUAUUGGAGACCAAGGUCAAAGGGCUUAGGUCUGCAAGAACUUCACUUUCUAUCCAUCAAUAUUCAAGGAUUAACAAGGUUCCGAUUAUUGAGUUCUUAGAAGGCCAAUUGAAGAAGACUUGAACUCUUUUCCCAAGUGUUAGUAGAUCUUUAUGUUCGGGGAUGUUACCUUGUUCCACAUUCUAGCUUUAAAGUUGUAUUGUCAUAAAAACAUUGUUCAUUUCUUUAUCAUUUGGAUAUUUAUGUAAGCCUAUAUUGGCAUGUUUACUUUGUAUUGGCUAUGUCAAAGAUUUGUACUCGUUUAGACGGUUCAAUAUCAGAAGAAGUAUUAGACUAAUUCUUAUUUAUU